CUGAUUGGCUGACACGUAUUCCCGAGCUGCCGGAACUUUCUGGAACUUUCUGCUUCCGAGUCUGCUUCGGUCAAGGAGGAGCUGUGUGCUGCUAGACGCAUUGCUUCAGGAGAAAAUCCUGCACUUGCUGACAUCCAGUGAAUCAAAGAACUCGAUAUUAAACGCGGAUGCUGCUGCAGUGCAGACAGGCAUUAAUGAGAACAGAGAAGGAAAUAUGAGUGACUCAUCCACCGCAGGGAAACGAGCAUUUGCUGUAGCUGCAGGGGGUCCGGCUUCAUCUGACAAACCACGAAGGGAGACUAACUGGAACAGGAGGGACAGAAGCUGCUGUGACAUCUGACUGCAGACAAAAGUCCAUCAGUGGUCUGAUAAUGAUCAGCUCUUACUUUGAGCUGGCUCGUCUCGGCUACAAAUCCCGGCCUGCUUCAGCGCCCGCGUGCCAAAGAGAGGGAACAAGUGACAGGAAAGUGUUGCAUCUCCUCUGAUGGAGCUCCGACGUUUAGCUUCGCCUUCAGCUUCACAACUUAUGCAACAAGCACAUUUCAGUGAAGGGUUUAUAAUUUAACCAUGGGGCCACAGACGAAGGAUUGGGGUCAGGGAAGUAGCAAACACCAAAACACUCCUACAGCAAUCCUGCAGGACACACAAACGCCCGCGUACACACCGAGGAGGUCCUGGAUGCUUCGGCUUCAGUGGUUAAAAAUAAAACUCUGCACUAUUUCUUGGUUUUCCAUCUCUAAAUACACGCUUAUGGCUGAUGUUUUUGCGGGAGUCUACGAGAGCUUUUCAGACGCAGGAUGCUGUGGGCAUUUGACACCUCAUUUCGUUUCGGGGCCAAGUUUGAGUUUGAAGUCGAGCAUAAAGAAACGGCGAGGUUUCCCCACAGAUGGUAUUUCAGACGCAUCUCGCAAACCAGAUUCCAUCAAGUUAUUAAUUGUCACGUUUCAGUGUCGCCUGUGGCUACUAGAGCUGACGCCUGUGAAGACGAGGAGCUCCUGGCUGCAGUUGUCAUUUUAGGUGAGGAUGCAUGGGCUUUGGCGGCGCCUUAGCAGCCCAGCAGAUGGGCUUGGGAUUUUUUUUUUUUUUCCUAAGGCGGAUGAGUGACAGAACGGCGGUGGGAGGACGUUUCUAUCUUGCUCUCGCUCCUGCCUAAUCGGUUAUUUUCUCAAUCUGUUUCUUCGCGUCUCCUUGUCUGUCCGUAUUUGUCUAUAAGUUG